GGCCGCGGGAAUUCGAUUCAGGCCUAACACAUGCAAGUCGAACGGUGAACUUCCCUUCGGGGAGGGGAUCAGUGGCGAACGGGUGAGUAACACGUGAGCAAUCUGCCUUUCACUUUGGGAUAGCCCCGGGGAACCGGGGCUAAUACCGAAUACGAACUCCUUUGGCAUCUUUGGAGUUGGAAAGUUUUUCGGUGAAAGAUGAGCUGGCGGCCUAUCAGCUUGUUGGUGGGGUAAUGGCCCACCAAGGCGACGACGGGUAGCCGGCCUGAGAGGGGGGCCGGCCACACUGGGACUGAGACACGGCCCAGACUCCUACGGGAGGCAGCAGUGGGGAAUAUUGGGCAA
rnacentral:rRNA from 1 species